rnacentral:sRNA from 2 species
UUCUAGCCGCGAUGGAAACGGCAUCCUUUUUUGAUAUUGCGGUUGCAUAAAUCUUCUUCAAAGCAUGUCACUUCGAUCGCAAUGGCAAAAAAGAUACAGUGGACAGCGGGAUGUGUU